ACUGCGAGCGGUAACAUGAUCUGUAGCAAUACAGAUUGAUGACGAGCGGCGGACGGGUGAGGAACACGUAGGAACUUACCUUUCAGAGGGGGAUAACUAAGGGAAACUUUAGCUAAUACCGCGUAAAGUCGAAAGACCAAAGCUGCCCGCAAGGGUGGCGCUGAAAGAGAGGCCUGCGUCCGAUUAGCUAGUUGGUGAGGUAAAGGCUCACCAAGGCGAUGAUCGGUAACUGGUCUGAGAGGACGACCAGUCACAUUGGGACUGAGACACGGCCCAAACUCCUACGGGAGGCAGCAGUGGGGAAUCUUGGACAAUGGGGGCAACCCUGAUCCAGCGAUGCCGCGUGGGUGAAGAAGGCCUUCGGGUUGUAAAGCCCUUUAGGCCGGGACAAAGUUUGUGGAAGGAAAUGUCUGCAAAUUGAUGGUACCGGCAGAAUAAGCACCGGCAAACUCUGUGCCAGCAGCCGCGGUAAUACAGAGGGUGCAAGCGUUAAUCGGAGUUACUGGGCGUAAAGGGCGCGUAGGCGGUUAUAUGAGUGUGAUGUGAAAGCCCUGGGCUUAACCUAGGAAGCGCAUCGCAAACGAUAUAACUGGAGUAGAUGAGAGGGUGGCGGAAUUUCCGGUGUAGCGGUGAAAUGCGUAGAGAUCGGAAGGAACGUCAAUGGCGAAGGCAGCCACCUGG
rnacentral:rRNA from 1 species